AACCAUUCUCACCUGCGGCUAGACCUGCGGAAGGAUCAUUACAGAGUUGCAAAACUCCCUAAACCAUUGUGAACCUACCUUCUACCGUUGCUUCGGCGGGCGGGCCUAGCGCCCCCCCGGCCCCCCGCGGGCGCCCGCCGGAGGAUAACCAAACUCUUGACAUCAGUGGCCUCUCUGAGUAUUCUUUACUGAAUAAGUCAAAACUUUCAACAAUGGAUCU
rnacentral:misc_RNA from 1 species